CGGGUGAGUAACGCGUGGGUAACCUGCCUCAUACAGGGGGAUAACAGUUAGAAAUGACUGCUAAUACCGCAUAAGCGCACGAGAUCGCAUGAUAAAGUGUGAAAAACUCCGGUGGUAUGAGAUGGACCCGCGUCUGAUUAGCUGGUUGGUGGGGUAACGGCCCACCAAGGCGACGAUCAGUAGCCGACCUGAGAGGGUGACCGGCCACAUUGGGACUGAGACACGGCCCAA
rnacentral:rRNA from 1 species